UACGAAGGGGGCUAGCGUUGCUCGGAAUCACUGGGCGUAAAGGGUACGUAGGCGGAUUGUUAAGUCAGGGGUGAAAUCCUGGAGCUCAACUCCAGAACUGCCUUUGAUACUGGGGAUCUUGAGUUCGGGAGAGGUGAGUGGAACUGCGAGUGUAGAGGUGAAAUUCGUAGAUAUUCGCAAGAACACCAGUGGCGAAGGCGGCUCACUGGCCCGGUACUGACGCUCAGGUGCGAAAGCGUGGGGAGCAAACAGG
rnacentral:rRNA from 1 species